GAUGGAGACAAGCACCACUCUAAUGAAUACCAGAAAAACACAAAUAAGAGCCGCGCUGCCAGGCUGAUUAGCUAAAUUCAUUAUUUACUAUUUUCCCCUUUCCGCUGGUGAUGUGUUUGAGUGAAGACUGAUCAUUCGUAACUUCUCCUAACGCAUGAUUUAAUCACACGUGCCUGAUGAAAGGAUGGCCUUCUUUCAUUGGAUUGAGUUUGUCGGGAGGUUGUUGAUCAGACGGAGAUGCAGUACUAAAAAAAUGUGGAGUUUUUGA
rnacentral:lncRNA from 1 species